rnacentral:lncRNA from 1 species
AUGCUAGCCAUGUGUUUCAUGGAAUAUUACUUUGCGUGUUUAACUUUUGGAAACCAGUCACGCUAUUGGUGUUGAAAUGUACAUACGUGCGUUUGAAAAUAUGUUAGGUUUGUGUAGAAGUACAUAUUUGCCAUUAUAGUAAAAAAAUAAAAUAAAAUAAAAAAGUUAAAAAAAUAUAGAUAUAUACAUAUAUAUGGCCUUGUUUAUGUGGUUCUUUUGAUGUUAACUAUCGGUCUUUAAUACCGUUCAAAAAAAGAAAAAAAACUAUCGGUCUUUAAUAUGUGGAGGAUUCCACCAUCAUAACGUAGGUUGCUUCUUCUUCAUUCUUGUAAAAACGGUAGUCAUCAUAACAUGUUAUAUCAUUCUAACGUGUAUGUCAUCACGCUACUCCACUUUAUCCUACUUUAGUUAUUGAUCCGCAUCAUCCGUUGAUCGAUCACCUCAUAUUACACAAUCUCACUAGAUACCACCGUCAUCAUGAGCCCCUUCUCGUGUCUAAAAAAAAAACAUCGCAUACCACCAUCAUAAACUCCCUUCUCUUUUGACCGAAAGGAAGAACCAUCGAGAAGUCUGGUCAAACAUGAAAGAAACCAUCAAGAAAUUUGGCCACUUCGAAUAUCCUUCCCCAUUUCCCAUUGCACAAUUGGCGCAAGUUACAGGGGCUGCGUGCGCACGGUGGGGAGGUGCCCGACCCCCCGAACUUUUAGCUCAGUAGUGUAAUAUGUGGUUUCGUAUAGAAAUUUUUGAGUAUAUACGUCUUCGACCCCCCUGAUCGGAAAUCUCAAGCUUCGCCACUGCAUUGCACGCUCUAUCUAUACACACCGUAAAGAUAGAACCUAGUUGCACUUCGGUAGUUCUUAAUCCAUACCUAAGUUAUCGAGUAGAUGGUCCAUCGAAUCACAAAGUUGUGGCCCAUGGGCGUCGCGUGGUGGCUCGGUGGAAAACAAAAUUGAAGUUUACAUGGGAAUAUGGGAUCUAAUUCAUUGAUUCCUCGUUCGAUUUGGUUGUUGAUAAUUGAAAUGAGUUUAUGUUAUAACUUGAUUUUGGUAUUGGAUCUACUUUCUUGGAGAUGAUAACUGAAAGAUGGUGACACAAGUCAAUGUUCGAAAAUGGUGAUAAUAAACAAGAAGGG